UAGCAAUGCAUAUUGAUAUGUCUCUCAC
rnacentral:piRNA from 1 species